rnacentral:rRNA from 1 species
UACGUAGGGUCCGAGCGUUGUCCGGAAUUAUUGGGCGUAAAGGGCUCGUAGGCGGUUUGUCGCGUCGGGAGUGAAAACCUACAGCUUAACUGUGGGCUUGCUUUCGAUACGGGCAGACUUGAGGCAUGCAGGGGAGAACGGAAUUCCUGGUGUAGCGGUGAAAUGCGCAGAUAUCGGGAAGAACACCCGUGGCUAAGGCGGCUCUCUAGUACGGUACUGACGCUGAGACGCGAAAGCGUGGGGAGCGAACAGG